rnacentral:rRNA from 1 species
AACGAACGCUGGCGGCAUGCCUAACACAUGCAAGUCGAACGAGACCUUCGGGUCUAUUGGCGCACGGGUGCGUAACGCGUGGGAACCUGCCCUUAGGUUCGGAAUACCUCCCCGAAAGGGGUGCUAAUACCGGUUAAUGUCUUCGGACCAAAGAUGUACUGCCUUUGGAUGGGCCCGCGUUGGUUUAGCUGGUUGGUAGGGUAAAAGCCUACCAAGGCGAGGAUCCUGAGCUGGUCGGAGAGGAUGAUUAGCCACACUGGGACUGAGACACGGCCCAGACUCGUACGGGAGGCAGCAGUGGGGAAUAUUGGAGGAUGGGCGAAAGCCUGAUCCAGCGAUGCCGCGUGAGUGAUGAAGGGCGUAGGGUUGUAAAGCUCUUUUAGCCGGGAUGAUAAUGACAGUACCGGGAGAAUAAGCUCCGGCUAACUCCGUG